rnacentral:rRNA from 1 species
ACGUAGGGUGCAAGCGUUGUCCGGAAUUAUUGGGCGUAAAGAGCGUGUAGGCGGCCCGAUUAGUCCGCUGUGAAAGUCCAGGGCUCAACCCUGGAAUGCCGGUGGAUACUGUCGGGCUAGAGUCCGGAAGGGGCGAGUGGAAUUCCUGGUGUAGCGGUGAAAUGCGCAGAUAUCAGGAGGAACACCAAUGGCGAAGGCAGCUCGCUGGGACGUGACUGACGCUGAGACGCGAAAGCGUGGGGAGCAAACAGG